rnacentral:misc_RNA from 1 species
AAGUCGUAACAAGGUUUCCGUAGGUGAACCUGCGGAAGGAUCAUUCGUGUAAGUUUAAUUUGUGAUGAUAAGUGUAGUUGCCUUGGCGGCUGCAUGCAUCAUCUCAAAACUACACCCUUUGUGAACGAAAUAGCCUAGAUAGCUUUUGCCCAAUUGGCCGUGGUCAUUUGGGCAAUAGCCGUCGUAUUUCAUAAACCUUUUACAAAUUGCAAUAUCAUACAAUAUACAACAACUAUGGUUAAUUAUAUAAUUUAAUACAACCUUUAACAAUGGAUCUCUUGGUUCCU